rnacentral:snoRNA from 1 species
CCUCUCUCAGGAUCGCAUCUGGAGAGUUUCCAGUAGUCUACCAGUCUCAGCUAAGGGAGGGAGAGUCGAGCAGAGGCAUACCCAUUCCAUUCCUAGCUUGGGCAGGGGCUAGCGAGUGGAAGGCAAUCUGCUACAAGU